ACUUGGAACAAGACACACCAUGUUCUAUGCCGUCGUCUUUGCCUUGACAUCCGUCACCGCCACAUGUUUCUACCCCACAUGAUUUCUCUCUCAACAAAGCGUACCAUCUUCUGGUCGGGAUGAGAAGUUACAGCAGUUACACUUACAAGGUGCCAAAGAUUUUAUGGUUUGGGCCCUGUUCUUUGUCAGAGAUGUUGGCUCAGGAAAGAGAAUUAAUGCUCACAAGAAGGUAGCAGAGCCGAUUGUGUUCUCGUGCUGUGUUUCUCCUCUCAGGAUCUUUUUAUCUGCACCAAACUGCUGCUGAUGCUCCACCAAGAAAGACCAAGCUGAGAGCUGCUCUGCUAACUUCAGAGCUAAAGCAAUGCUGAAGCGGUAUUAGUUCUCCUCUUGUCUUGUUCCAAUUUCCUGUCUAUUUGCUGUCCCUCUACUUUUUCUUGUCUGAUGAUAAUGACUCGCAUCUCUUUCCAAGAAAAAGAUGAUUGUCAUCUUCUUCUCAAUUUUUGUUCAUAUUCUCUUUAGCUUUCAUUUAGGAGACACAAGCUCUCUACGCUUUGGACAGUCCCUAACUAGCACUCUAGAACAAAGCAGCCCGUGCUUUCUUGUGGAAAGCAAAAUGAUCUGGAAUUUCUUGUAGCUUUUCUUCAUAAUAACACGGCAAAGCACUCGGGUACAGAUGAUGCUUUGGUUGCGGAUUAUCCUGUGCUUCAUGGACACGCUGAUCCUCUCUCUGUACUCUGUCUCUGGGUUGCAGUAGGAAGAUGAACCAGUCUCCCAUCUUCCCCAAAGAUGAACAUGGGAACUGCAGCGAGCUUGGUUAUGAUCUCCAAUUGGACUUCUCAAAGUUCCUGGAAGAAGCAAGAAAUCAUGCUAGCAAUAUCCUCUCACUGCCACAAUCCGACUCGCUCGAGAAGGUGAGAAUGAAAGAUACAAAGAAGAAGAAGAAGACAUGGCCAAGAUCUGUAUCCUUCUGGUUUAAGUUUGGAAAAAGUGCAGGAGAAGAAGCAACAUCCAAAACCAAUAAUACGCUGAAGGACUCCUCUUCCAAUCCUUUGGAUGCAGAUCACAGACCAUUGUCGGGUCGGAUAUUUGGAAAUGGAAGUAAAUUUUCUCAGCUUCAUCGAAGAAUUCGACAAUCUACUUCAGGACCUCUUGCUUGUUGCUUCACUCCUACAAGAGCAGAAGAGACUGAGGUGCCUUACAGAUUCUUGGACCACCAAAACCAUCCUUUGAGAGCUCAGGCUUUUGGUCCGAUUUACCUGGUAACAUGAGCCAUGGAUCUUGAAUGGUGUUACUGAUAGAUUAAACCUUUACCACGGAGAAUUUUGCCACCA